UACAACCACACCAUGCUGAAAAACCGGUUCCCGUACGAUAACUGAAGUUAAGCAACUUCGAACCGGUCAGUCCCUAGAUGGGUGUCCGCUUGGGAAUACCAGGUACU